rnacentral:tRNA from 1 species
UGCUGUCGGCGAGCGGGGUGCGCGUCGCCUUCCCGGGGCGGCGGGGCUCACCGCCGUCCCGGGCGGUGGACGGGGU